CAGUAGCCGCGGUAAUACGUAGGGUGCAAGCGUUAAUCGGAAUUAUUGGGCGUAAAGCGAGUGCAGACGGUUACUUAAGCCAGAUGUGAAAUCCCCAAGCUUAACUUGGGACGUGCAUUUGGAACUGGGUGACUAGAGUGUGUCAGAGGGAGGUAGAAUUCCACAUGUAGCGGUGGAAUGCGUAGAGAUGUGGAGGAAUACCGAUGGCGAAGGCAGCCUCCUGGGAUAACACUGACGUUGAGGCUCGAAAGCGUGGGGAGCAAACAGGAUUAGAUACCCCCGUAGUCCCUGUCUCUUAUAA
rnacentral:rRNA from 1 species